UACCUUUACAUUUUAAUCAAAUUCAGUAAUAAUAUUUGGUGCUAAUAUAGCUAUAGUAAUAAACGUAAUUUAGAAUAGAGGUUGCGGACUCGGGGGCAGUACCCGACGCCUCCACCAAUAUUCGAUGAACUCCAAAAAUUUGCUGCGUCAUUUUAUUAAGUGCUGUGGUCUUUAUGUGUUAAGUAACUGCUCACGCUUUUUGUAGUUGAUCUAUAUAUGUAUGAUUUUCGGUUUAAAUUGAAUUUAAUUUUGAGAAAUGCGCGAAGUUUACAAAUGAAUAUAUGAGCUAUGAGCAUCACGAACAAUUGAUAAAAUGAAAGAGUAAUAUUAAAUAAAGUAAAGAUAAGUAGAAUUUUUUGGGGGCGAAAUAGGAUCGACGUGCCUAAUAAAAAAAUUGCUUUUACUCGGUAUGAUCCCACCGAUGGCUUUUGCCAUAUGGGUCAAAACAAAGAAACGCAAACGAUAAUAAGCGUUAUGUAGGUGUUGCCGCUUUAGCUGCAGCUUAAUCCUACGCGGCUUGGGAUUUGCCGGGCAACAGAAAAAUCCCAU
rnacentral:tmRNA from 20 species